rnacentral:tRNA from 1 species
UCCUCGAUAGCUCAGUUGGUAGAGCAAUUGACUGUUAAUCAAUGGGUCCCAGGUUCGAGUCCUGGUCGAGGAGCCA